rnacentral:rRNA from 1 species
AUGAACGCUAGCUACAGGCUUAACACAUGCAAGUCGAGGGGCAGCAUGGUCUUAGCUUGCUAAGGCCGAUGGCGACCGGCGCACGGGUGAGUAACGCGUAUCCAACCUGCCUUACACUCUUGGACAGCCUUCUGAAAGGGAGAUUAAUACAAGAUGUUAUCAUGAGUAAGCAUUUUCGCAUGAUUAAAGGUUUACCGGUGUAAGAUGGGGAUGCGUUCCAUUAGAUAGUAGGCGGGGUAACGGCCCACCUAGUCUUCGAUGGAUAGGGGUUCUGAGAGGAAGGUCCCCCACAUUGGAACUGAGACACGGUCCAAACUCCUACGGGAGGCAGCAGUGAGGAAUAUUGGUCAAUGGACGAGAGUCUGAACCAGCCAAGUAGCGUGAAGGAUGAAGGUUCUAUGGAUUGUAAACUUCUUUUAUACGGGAAUAAACGGAUCCACGUGUGGAUUUUUGCAUGUACCGUAUGAAUAAGGAUCGGCUAACUCCGUGCCAGCAGCCGCGGUAAUACGGAGGAUCCGAGCGUUAUCCGGAUUUAUUGGGUUUAAAGGGAGCGUAGAUGGGUUGUUAAGUCAGUUGUGAAAGUUUGCGGCUCAACCGUAAAAUUGCAAUUGAUACUGGCAGUCUUGAGUACAGUUGAGGUAGGCGGAAUUCGUGGUGUAGCGGUGAAAUGCUUAGAUAUCACGAAGAACUCCGAUUGCGAAGGCAGCUUACUAACCUGUAACUGACAUUGAUGCUCGAAAGUGUGGGUAUCAAACAGGAUUAGAUACCCUGGUAGUCCACACGGUAAACGAUGAAUACUCGCUGUAGGCGAUAUACAGUCUGCGGCCAAGCGAAAGCAUUAAGUAUUCCACCUGGGGAGUACGCCGGCAACGGUGAAACUCAAAGGAAUUGACGGGGGCCCGCACAAGCGGAGGAACAUGUGGUUUAAUUCGAUGAUACGCGAGGAACCUUACCCGGGCUUAAAUUGCAACCGAAUAUGGCGGAAACGCUAUAGCUAGCAAUAGCGGUUGUGAAGGUGCUGCAUGGUUGUCGUCAGCUCGUGUCGUGAGAUGUUGGGUUAAGUCCCGCAACGAGCGCAACCCUUAUCCUUAGUAGCCAGCAGGUAGAGCUGGGCACUCUAGGGAGACUGCCAGGGAUAACCUGGAGGAAGGUGGGGAUGACGUCAAAUCAUCAUGCCCCUUAUGAUUUGGGCUACACACGUGCUACAAUGGCGUAAACAAAGGGAAGCUACCACGCAAGUGGAUGCCAAUCCCAAAAACCUCUCUCAGUUCGGAUUGAAGUCUGCAACCCGACUUCAUGAAGCUGGAUUCGCUAGUAAUCGCGCAUCAGCCACGGCGCGGUGAAUACGUUCCCGGGCCUUGUACACACCGCCCGUCAAGCCAUGGGAGCCGGGGGUACCUGAAGUGCGUAACCGCAAGGAGCGCCCUAGGGUAAAACUGGUGACUGGGGCU